GUCGAGUGAAUAAUGAUGGUGGGCUUCUUCUUGCUUCUCAAAGCUUUGAUGGUGUAGCUGUAGUCCGUAUGAGUCUUUGGCUUUGUAUCUUCUAUGAAGGAAACACUACUUAGGUUUUUAGGAUUCCGUUGCGGUUCUUUUUCUUAUAUUCAAUCAUACACAUCAUAUCAAGUCAUAUUUGACUCCAAAACACUAACCAAGCUUCUUCUUGCUUCUCAAAGCUUUGAUUGUGUAGUCGAAGUCCAUAUAAAUCUCGGACUUCGUAUUUUAAAACAAAGAAACACUACUUAGGCUUUAAGAUCCGGUUGUGGUUCUAGUUCUUAUACUCAAUCAUACACAUGCAAUCUAGUCAUAUUUGACUCCAAAACACUAACCAAGCUUCUACUUGCUUCUCAAAGAUUUGAUAGUGUAGCUAAAGUCCGUAUAAGUCUUUGGCUUUGUAUCUUCCAACAAAGAAACACUACUUAAGCUUUCACGAUCCAGUUGAGGUUCUAAGUCUUAUAUUAAAUCAUACACAUGACACCUAGUCAUAUUUGAUUCCAAAACACUAACCAAGCCUCUUCUUGCUGUUCAAAGUUUUGAUUUUUUGGCCAAAGUCAGUAUGAAUCUUUGGCUUUGUAUCUUCAAACAAGGAAACACUACUUAAGCUUUUAUGAUCCACUUGAGGUUCUAAGUCUUAUAUUAAAUCAUACACAUGACACCUAGUCAUAUUUGACUCCAAAACACUAACCCAGCUUGUUCUUCCUUCUCAAAGCUUCGAUGGUGUAUUCGAAGUCCGUAUGAGUCUUUGGCUUUGUAUCUUCUAACAAGGAAACACUACUUAGGCUUUUAAGAUACGGUUGCGGUUCUAGUUCUUAUACUCAAUCAUACACAUGACAUCUAGUCAUAUUUGACUCCAAAACAUUAAUCAAGCUUCUUCUUGGUUCUCAAAGCUUUGCUGGUGUUCUCGUAGUUCGUAUUUGUCUUUCGCUUUGUAUCUUCGAACAUUGAAACACUACAUAAGCUUUUAAGAUCCGGUUGCGGUUCUAGUUCUUAUACUCAAUCAUACACAUUUG
rnacentral:sRNA from 1 species